UCACGCACAGGGCAAACCAUUUGAAAAAGUGGGACGCAAAGCUUCCGGCCUAAAUGGAUGUAUAAAAAAUCCAAAUGGUAGCGGGGUUGCCGAU
rnacentral:ncRNA from 1 species